ACGCCCGGCGUAUGCCUUAGUAACGGCGAGUGAAGCGGCAAAAGCUCAAAUUUGAAAUCUGGUACCUUCGGUGCCCGAGUUGUAAUUUGGAGAGGGCAACUUUGGGGCCGUUCCUUGUCUAUGUUCCUUGGAACAGGACGUCAUAGAGGGUGAGAAUCCCGUGUGGCGAGGAGUGCGGUUCUUUGUAAAGUGCCUUCGAAGAGUCGAGUUGUUUGGGAAUGCAGCUCUAAGUGGGUGGUAAAUUCCAUCUAAAGCUAAAUAUUGGCGAGAGACCGAUAGCGAACAAGUACAGUGAUGGAAAGAUGAAAAGAACUUUGAAAAGAGAGUGAAAAAGUACGUGAAAUUGUUGAAAGGGAAGGGCAUUUGAUCAGACAUGGUGUUUUGUGCCCUCUGCUCCUUGUGGGUAGGGGAAUCUCGCAUUUCACUGGGCCAGCAUCAGUUUUGGUGGCAGGAUAAAUCCAUAGGAAUGUAGCUUGCCUCGGUAAGUAUUAUAGCCUGUGGGAAUACUGCCAGCUGGGACUGAGGACUGCGACGUAAGUCAAGGAUGCUGGCAUAAUGGUUAUAUGCCGCCCGUCUGAA
rnacentral:rRNA from 1 species